rnacentral:rRNA from 1 species
UACGUAGGGCGCGAGCGUUGUCCGGAAUUAUUGGGCGUAAAGAGCUCGUAGGCGGCUUGUCGCGUCGGAUGUGAAAGCCCGGGGCUUAACUCCGGGUCUGCAUUCGAUACGGGCAGGCUAGAGUUCGGUAGGGGAGAUCGGAAUUCCUGGUGUAGGGGUGAAAUUCGUUGAUAUCAGGAGGAACACCGGCGGCGAAGGCGGCCCCCUGGCCCGCAACUGACGCUCAUGGUCGAAAGCGUGGGGAGCAAACAGG